rnacentral:rRNA from 1 species
AGAGUUUGAUCCUGGCUCAGGACGAACGCUGGCGGCAUGCCUAAUACAUGCAAGUCGUGCGAACAAAGGAGAUGCUUGCAUCUCCCGCGUUAGCGGCGGAUGGGUGAGUAACACGUGGGCAACCUGCCCUGUAGACUGGGAUAACUCGCGGAAACGUGAGCUAAUACCGGAUAAUCCUUCGAACCUCAUGGUUCGACGUUAAAAGACGGUUUCGGCUGUCACUACAGGAUGGGCCCGCGGCGCAUUAGCUAGUUGGUGAGGUAACUGCUCACCAAGGCAACGAUGCGUAACCGGCCUGAGAGGGCGAACGGUCACACUGGGACUGAGACACGGCCCAGACUCCUACGGGAGGCAGCAGUAGGGAAUCUUCCACAAUGGACGAAAGUCUGAUGGAGCAAUGCCGCGUGAGUGAUGAAGGAUUUCGGUUCGUAAAACUCUGUUGCGAGGGAAGAACAAGUGUAAACUAACUACUUACACCUUGACGGUACCUCGUUAGAAAGCCACGGCUAACUACGUGCCAGCAGCCGCGGUAAUACGUAGGUGGCAAGCGUUGUCCGGAAUUAUUGGGCGUAAAGCGCACGCAGGCGGCCUUCUAAGUCUGAUGUGAAAUCCCACGGCUUAACCGUGGAAGGUCAUUGGAAACUGGAAGGCUUGAGGAUAGAGAGGAAAGUGGAAUCCACGUGUACCGGUGAAUGCGUAAGAUGUGAAGACACCAGUGGCGAAGCACUUCUGUCUAUACUGACCUGAGUGCGAAGCUGGGAGCAACAGAUAA